AAACUUUCAACAAUAGAUCUCUUGGUUCCCGCAUCGAUGAAAAACGCAGCGAAAUGCGAUAAUUAAUGUGAAUUGCAAAAUUCAGUGAAUCAUCGAGUCUUUGAACGCACAUUGCACCCCCUGGUAUUCCGGGGGGUACGCCUGUCAGAGCGUCAUU
rnacentral:rRNA from 1 species